rnacentral:rRNA from 1 species
UCGACGGGGAGGUUUGGCACCUCGAUGUCGGCUCAUCACAUCCUGGGGCUGUAGUAGGUCCCAAGGGUUGGGCUGUUCGCCCAUUAAAGUGGUACGCGAGCUGGGUUCAGAACGUCGUGAGACAGUUCGGUCCCUAUCCGUCGCAGGCGUAGGAAAUUUGAGAAGACCUGUCCUUAGUACGAGAGGACCGGGAUGGACGUACCUCUGGUGUACCAGUUGUUCUGCCAAGGGCAUGGCUGGGUAGCUAUGUACGGAAUGGAUAAGCGCUGAAAGCAUCUAAGCGCGAAGCCAACUUCAAGAUAAGAUUUCCCACCGCAAGGGUAAGACCCCAGAAAGACUAUCUGGUUGAUAGGUCGAAGGUGUAAGUGCAGCAAUGUAUUUAGCUUAUCGAUACUAAUAGGUCGAGGACUUGACCAAU